UACUGAUCUUCCCAAUCUGGAU
rnacentral:misc_RNA from 1 species